rnacentral:lncRNA from 1 species
GUCUGCCAGGAACCCGGGGACUCAGAGACCCAGUGUCCUUCUUGCAACUCCAAUACAUUCUGUGUCACAUGACCUCAAAUAGAUCUACGGAGGCAGGAAAGACAAGAAGAAGGAACAUUCAAUUCACUUAAAGGCGCUCGACGGGUCCUUCUGCUCUCAUCUGUACCCAGGGGAAAACAAAUCCUGGUGUUAUAAGGCAUUUGGACAGCAGCAUAUCACAGCUAAGAGAGCACUAGGCUUACAGAGAGGAGCCCUGGGUCCCGGGCUUGGCUCUGCCUCUCAGAGCUUGGGACCCUGGCACAUUGCCCUGCCCCUUGGGGACCCCUGGCCCAUCUUCUAAAUAUGAAAAUAAAA